rnacentral:rRNA from 1 species
UACGGUAGGGUGCAAGCGUUGUCCGGAAUUAUUGGGCGUAAAGAGCUCGUAGGCGGUCUGUCGCGUCUGCUGUGAAAACUCAGGGCUUAACCCUGAGCUUGCAGUGGGUACGGGCAGACUAGAGUGCGGUAGGGGAGACUGGAAUUCCUGGUGUAGCGGUGAAAUGCGCAGAUAUCAGGAGGAACACCGGUGGCGAAGGCGGGUCUCUGGGGCCG